rnacentral:piRNA from 1 species
UAUUUAUUGAGUCUCUUAUUAUAUGCCAG